rnacentral:sRNA from 1 species
ACGUACCACGCAUACACGGCGGUUCCUCCGCGCCAUCCACGCCCACCGGGCGACUGCUCGUUACGUUCUGUUAGAC